AAAACAAAACAAAAAAGGGAACUGUUGGCCGGAAACUCAGUGAGCUGAUGCAGCACAUGAGCUGGAUGACACCAGACGUGACAGUACUUCGCUCUGUUGUCCUCAAAGGCAUUCCAAUUUUACUUGGUGACGCCUCCAGUGAAUUCUUCAAGACAUGCUCUGAUACAGCAAGAGACGAGGCCCUAGAAUG